ensembl:rRNA 5S_rRNA 5S ribosomal RNA
AGCCACAGCUAUAUCACCCUGCAGCCCAAGACCAGUUACUCACUGAAGCUCAGCAGGGAUAAGCCUAGUUAGUACCUGGAUGGGAAACCAUAUGGGAAAACUAGGUUGCUGUUGGAA